UACAGAGGGUGCAAGCGUUAAUCGGAAUUACUGGGCGUAAAGCGUGCGUAGACGGGUAUUUAAGUCGGGGGUGAAAGCCCCGGGCUCAACCUGGGAAUUGCAUUCGAGACUGAAUAGCUAGGGUGCGGAAGAGGGAAGCGGAAUUUCCGGUGUAGCGGUGAAAUGCGUAGAUAUUGCGCGGAAGGCCAGAGCCGAAGGGGCCCUACUGGUGCGCAACUGACACUGAGGCACGAAAGCGUGGGGAGCAAACAGG
rnacentral:rRNA from 1 species